rnacentral:rRNA from 1 species
GAUGAACGCUGGCUACAGGCUUAACACAUGCAAGUCGAGGGGCAGCAUGGUCUUAGCUUGCUAAGGCCGAUGGCGACCGGCGCACGGGUGAGUAACACGUAUCCAACCUGCCGUCUACUCUUGGACAGCCUUCUGAAAGGAAGAUUAAUACAAGAUGGCAUCAUGAGUCCGCAUGUUCACAUGAUUAAAGGUAUUCCGGUAGACGAUGGGGAUGCGUUCCAUUAGAUAGUAGGCGGGGUAACGGCCCACCUAGUCUUCGAUGGAUAGGGGUUCUGAGAGGAAGGUCCCCCACAUUGGAACUGAGACACGGUCCAAACUCCUACGGGAGGCAGCAGUGAGGAAUAUUGGUCAAUGGGCGCAGGCCUGAACCAGCCAAGUAGCGUGAAGGAUGACUGCCCUAUGGGUUGUAAACUUCUUUUAUAAAGGAAUAAAGUCGGGUAUGUAUACCCGUUUGCAUGUACUUUAUGAAUAAGGAUCGGCUAACUCCGUG